rnacentral:rRNA from 1 species
GAUGAACGCUGGCGGCGUGCCUAAUACAUGCAAGUCGAGCGAGCGGACGAGAAGCUUGCUUCUCUGAUGUUAGCGGCGGACGGGUGAGUAACACGCGGAUAACCUACCUAUAAGACUGGGAUAACUUCGGGAAACCGGAGCUAAUACCGGAUAAUAUUUUGAACCGCAUGGUUCAAAAGUGAAAGACGGUCUUGCUGUCACUUAUAGAUGGAUCCGCGCUGCAUUAGCUAGUUGGUAAGGUAACGGCUUACCAAGGCAACGAUGCAUAGCCGACCUGAGAGGGUGAUCGGCCACACUGGAACUGAGACACGGUCCAGACUCCUACGGGAGGCAGCAGUAGGGAAUCUUCCGCAAUGGGCGAAAGCCUGACGGAGCAACGCCGCGUGAGUGAUGAAGGUCUUCGGAUCGUAAAACUCUGUUAUUAGGGAAGAACAUAUGUGUAAGUAACUGUGCACAUCUUGACGGUACCUAAUCAGAAAGCCACGGCUAACUACGUGCCAGCAGCCGCGGUAAUACGUAGGUGGCAAGUGUUAUCCGGAAUUAUUGGGCGUAAAGCGCGCGUAGGCGGUUUUUUAAGUCUGAUGUGAAAGCCCACGGCUCAACCGUGGAGGGUCAUUGGAAACUGGAAAACUUGAGUGCAGAAGAGGAAAGUGGAAUUCCAUGUGUAGCGGUGAAAUGCGCAGAGAUAUGGAGGAACACCAGUGGCGAAGGCGACUUUCUGGUCUGUAACUGACGCUGAUGUGCGAAAGCGUGGGGAUCAAACAGGAUUAGAUACCCUGGUAGUCCACGCCGUAAACGAUGAGUGCUAAGUGUUAGGGGGUUUCCGCCCCUUAGUGCUGCAGCUAACGCAUUAAGCACUCCGCCUGGGGAGUACGACCGCAAGGUUGAAACUCAAAGGAAUUGACGGGGACCCGCACAAGCGGUGGAGCAUGUGGUUUAAUUCGAAGCAACGCGAAGAACCUUACCAAAUCUUGACAUCCUUUGACAACUCUAGAGAUAGAGCCUUCCCCUUCGGGGGACAAAGUGACAGGUGGUGCAUGGUUGUCGUCAGCUCGUGUCGUGAGAUGUUGGGUUAAGUCCCGCAACGAGCGCAACCCUUAAGCUUAGUUGUCAUCAUUAAGUUGGGCACUCUAAGUUGACUGCCGGUGACAAACCGGAGGAAGGUGGGGAUGACGUCAAAUCAUCAUGCCCCUUAUGAUUUGGGCUACACACGUGCUACAAUGGACAAUACAAAGGGCAGCGAAACCGCGAGGUCAAGCAAAUCCCAUAAAGUUGUUCUCAGUUCGGAUUGUAGUCUGCAACUCGACUACAUGAAGCUGGAAUCGCUAGUAAUCGUAGAUCAGCAUGCUACGGUGAAUACGUUCCCGGGUCU